rnacentral:lncRNA from 1 species
GCUGUACACCGACGACUUUCGCCGAUAAUCCGUCUGCUCGUACUCGACCGUUCGCUGGAACUUUGUCUGACCUGAGGUACAUACUACGGUGUCAUCAAUUGCAUCUGUCAUCAAAGACUACUUAUUAAUUUUGUAUGUUCUUUAGUAUAUGCUCUUUAAGCUCUGAACAAGUCAAUGCCUGAAAUACCACAUGUAGUCAUUACAAGAUGAUCUUCGGGAAAGACAAUAAUUACAAGUAGCGAUUAAAGGAUAUAAAGCUAGCUAAAUUUUUAUCUAGGAAGAACAGCUGCUGUAUGACAGGAAAAAUUUAAGAAAAGAUAAACUAAUAUCAUGGUGAUGGCAUUAAUUGACUAUUUUGUAAGUAGCAAUCAAAGGUGAUAAAGGUAGCAAAUUUUUUAUCUAGGAAGAACAGCUGUUGUGACAGAAAUGAAAGCUAAAUAUACAAGUAUAUACUUGUUCGUGUCUAUCAAUUUAAUUUCAUGAGUAUUUCAAAUUCAUUCUUCUUACUUCUUCAGAUAAUACGGUAUAUGCUACUUUUGUUCAGGUAUAUACUUCUUUUUACCACUUUUACUUUUUCUCAGCGGAUUCAUGCAUGCUUCUCCUCAUAGGUUUCCCUUAGUUCAGUACUUAAUUUUUUUGGUGUAUACUUUCUCCUCGUCAGAGUAUACGUACAACAAGACAGAAAGAAACAUAUACUGUUGAUCGAUACUGAAAUAUCAUAUGGAAGAUAGCCCUCUCUUCUAUACCCCAUUGUGAAAAGUAGUAUACUAUCAAUUGAAAACACACCAUAUACUCCUUUCAGACAAUGAGUAUACACUGAUCGUUAUUGCCAGUAUCAUAGGUAUAUACUCUGAGAAUAGUUGUAUAUAUCCCAUUUGAAAAUAUAAAUAUGUAUAUACUCCUUGCAAACUACUCAUCAUUUAAACGUUUUUACAUAAGAUUGUCCGUCUGGAUACAAUAACUAAUUAGUAUUUUAAUAACUUAAAUUGCAUGGCUUGAUCGUCUGCUUGAGUCUUCUCUUAUGUAUGAGUGCACCAUGUGUGGGUUAAUUUUUUUUGGGUCUUCUAAUUCUCUGUGGUAAUUUGCAUCUAUAUUUGUGCUAAUUGGCAAGGUGCAUGAAUAAUGAUUUAUCUAAGUUUUUUGCUUAAUGGAAAGGCCUUUUCAGUUAAAAAACCCCUACUGAUUUGAUCAACAGAACAUGCGUCUGUUUUUAAAUAGCUGAAUUUCUACUUAUUUAAUUGACUAUUGUGGUGUCAAGAUCCAAUAGCCUUGCUAUUAGUUAAUGCUCUAUUUAUAUUUUCUUCCAACAAAACAAAUGUAUGUUUACAGCAAAAAAACUCGUCAUUUCCAGCAAAAACAAUGGCUCGCUGUCGCCAGGUCGCAGCAAAAGUUUUGGCCGGUCCCAUAAGAAAAUUAGUUCCAACAAAAAAAGAUUGUUGUCGCGGUCACAUGUACUAUACUCUACGCCUCCUGAAGAUGUGCAUUAAUGGUUGGCUGUUAUAAUACAUAUAUGUAAGAUUCCAUGUUAUACCAGCUUAGCAGAACUUCACGGAAAUUUGCUAGAGGUGUUGCAACAGCCUUGAUCAAAUAUUAUUUUCAUUAUUCCUUCUUGGUUUGAGACAAUAACAGUAGAUAAUCUUCAUCGAAAUUUGCUAGAGAAGUUCCAACAGCUUUGAUCAAAUAUUAUUUUUAUUAUUCCUUCUUGGUUUUAGACAAUGAAGUAGAGAAUCUAAAUACUUCUACUUUAUGUGUACUUGUAAUAGAGCAACGCUUGGUGCAGCUAGCUGCAACAGGGACCAACUUGACUUGAUGGGGAUACAAUCACCAAGAAAGAAUCAUACCUGAACUUACCUUUAUGCAUUGCACGAGCUACCAAUAUAUUGUAUCUUCCUGUAUGAUCCGUAACUCAUAGACACAUGAGUAGCGAUGGAUACUAUUUGGUAUGAACAACAUCAUCAUCUUGCAAUUCUAACAUGUAUUCAUUAACUUAUUUAUCCACAUAAUAGUGAUGCAUCUUACGUUUCUGUCUAUUGUAUCUGAAUCUAAAAUGCAAUUAACUCCUUAAUUUGCCUUCAACAGGAUUGAGCGAUCUGGCAUGUAAGCUUAGCUCGGUGGUUCAGAUUAUCACUGUUAGUCUUCUGCUCGUGGCAAUUUUUUAGACCUCUUGAGUUAUCUCAACGAAUCUGGUGUGAAGCUAUGAAGGGAUUUUUCUUGAAAACAAUACUGAAAGGAUACCUUAACUUCAUUUUAUCCCCUAGAUUAGUAUACGUAUAUUAAGUCCCCAUUUAUUUUAGAUGUAUAGCUUGCAUGACAGUUUUGUUUAAACAGAUUUUUUGGGCAUUUUGCAAUUCUCACAUAUGUUGUUACCCAUGCACUUACUUUUAUCAUUUCCAGUGUCAAUGUUUACAAAAUUGUUAAAUCUUUUUUUAUUGGAGUUCAGCCAUGUUUUCCACCAAGGAUUCAACUUGCAAGCAUCUGAAUCUUAUGUUGUCCGAUUCACUCUGCAUGUUAAUUCACAACUUGCAAGGUAAUUUAUAUAUUUAAAUUAAUCAUUUU